AGAAAAACAGGCAGAUGCACUAAAGAUGCUAGCCCAGUCGAGUGUAGAAACCGUAGAAGUCGCGAAACAACAAGCAGAUGCUUUAAAGAUCUUAGCCGAAAGCAGCUCUGCAAGUGCCCAGGCGAAUAAAAUGAUGGCGGAGGCAAUAGCCGUAUUGGGGA